rnacentral:lncRNA from 1 species
UACUAUNCUCCCUCCCUUUCUUCCUUCCUUCCUUCCUUCCUACCUUCCUUCCUUCCUUCCUUCCUUCCUUCCUUCCUUCCUUCCUUCCUUCCUUCCUUCCUUCCUUCCUUCCUCCCUCCCUCCCUCCCUCCCUCCCUCCCUCCCUCCUUCCUUCCUUCCUUCCUUCCUUUCUUCCUUCAGUUCUCUCUGUCUCUCCUCCCUCCCUCCAUCCCUUCCAUCUUAGGAUCACUACUGGGUAUUGGUUCCAAAGCAGAAGAGUGGUAAGGGCUGGGCAAUGGGGCUGAAGUGACUUGGCCCGGAUCACACAGCUAGGAAGCAUCUAAGGUCAAAUUUGAACCCAGGAUCUCCCAUCUCUGGGCCUGGCUCUCCAUCCACUGAACUUCUUUCUUUCCUUCUUUCCUUUUUUCCUGCCCCUAAACUCAGCAGUUAUAGCUGGACUGACUCCAGGGCCUGAAGGUCUCCUCUCUGAACACACUCACUCACUCACUCGCCUGUGUUUUCCUCCCCAUCCCGCUUGCCCCAGCCUAGGCUGUGCUGCCUUUUUCUGCUCCAGAGCAGCUGUUUUGUCUCCUCCUGUCAUUCACCUCUCCAGCCACUUCCGGGUCCUGUCCAUUUCUGAACGCUGGGCUAAGAAGCUUAGUGACCCUGGGAGGUCAGGCCAUUAUUAUGCUUAUAUCUGUGAUCAGGAAACCAGGGAAACUGCCUGGCCCCAGGGGCUGCCCACUACUGCUCUAUGGCUGGGCUGGGAUUUGCCCUUGGCUCUUCCUGACCAUCUACUGUGUGCUGGCAAGUGCCUACUAUGUGCAGUGUGAAUGCCCCCAGCUAGACUAUUGCUGGCCUCUGUCCUGGAGGAGCUUGGGGGCCAAUGAGGAGGACGGCAAAUUCCCUCCUUGGCCAUGCCUGAAAACCUAUCUGUCUCUGCAUCUGAAGUUCAUCACUAAGAGUGUUGGAGGCGGAUGGAUGCAGAUCCCAGUGUGCCGUCUUUCCUGUCUAUGAUUUUAUUGGGGCCCUUGGUCACGUGGGGGUACGCUCUUACAACAAUGACCAACAUGGAAGUGGGUUUUGCAUGGCAAUAAAAAUAAAAUUAAAAUGAACA